rnacentral:tRNA from 2 species
ACCCUUGUAGCUCAAAGGAAGAGCAUCAGUUUCCUAAACUGUGUGUUGCUGGUUCGAAUCCAGUCAGGGGUAC